rnacentral:rRNA from 1 species
AUUGAACGCUGGCGGCAGGCCUAACACAUGCAAGUCGAACGGUAACAGGAAAAAACUUGCUUCUUUGCUGACGAGUGGCGGACGGGUGAGUAAUAUCUAGCAGACUGCAUGUUUGAGUGGGAUAACUCCUAGAGACACUAACUCUAACACCAUAAAGUCGCAAGACCUAAGAGGAGGACAUCUUCGCACCUUGCCAUCGUAUGUGACCAGAUGGGAUUAGCUAGUAGGUGGGGUAAAGGCUCACCUAGGCGACGAUCCCUAGCUGGUCUGAGAGGAUGAUCAGCCACACUGGAACUGAGACACGGUCCAGACUCCUACGGGAGGCAGCAGUGGGGAAUAUUGGACAAUGGGCGCAAGCCUGAUGCAGCCAUGCCGCGUGGAUGAAGAAGGCCUUCGGGUUGUAAAGUACUUUCAGUGGGGAGGAAGGGAGGAAAGUUAAUACCUUGGCGCAUUGACGUUACCCGCAGAAGAAGCACCGGCUAACUCCGUG